AGCUUUGCAAAUCUGUGACAAGAUUUUGUCAGACCGUAGACCUUUAGGGCUGAUGAGACUCCCAAGAUAAGUGAAGUG
rnacentral:pre_miRNA from 1 species